AUGCUAAUAUCUUUAUUUACUGAUUUUAAUCAUAGACAAAUUAAUAAAUAUAUUAUUUUUGCCUUAUGCAUCCACUGGAAUAUUUCUCAUAAAGAAAAAUUAGGAGUAGCACCAGAAGGCUUGACAGACAGGUAUAGGCAGAUUCAGUAUGUAACAAUACACAGAUAAUUCAUCUGCAUGCUGCUCCAGCCACUUGCUUCCUCUUGGACUUUAAGAUAAUUCAUCCCAGUGGCCUGUCAAAACAAACAAGUGAAACAAACUGUAUGUGUCAAGCAAGUGUGCAUACCUAGGCCAGCAGAAUGUCAGGACACAGCUAGUGAGACCCUGGUAGAUUGCAGCAUGUCUUGGUUCAAGACGGAUUUAGCCUGACAAGUAAAUUACAGGUAUGUUUAUUUUAGUUUGCCACAAAAAGAAACAGUAAUGGAAAGAGAGUGGAGAUUUAGCUAAACCUCAGCAGGACUUACAUGGCAAUUCUUUCCUUUUCGGGAAAAUUGAAAUGAAGAAGAUAAAAAGAGAUAUAAUGUGAGGUUUAGAUUUCAUUAAGAAAUUUGGAUCAAGCGAGUAAUAUUGUUACAUACCACUGAAUUGAGACAUAAUGAAGGAAAGUAGGCUUUGCUGAGCUUAGUAGAUAAAUGAUCAAAGGAACAGCAUGAUGGUAAUAUGAAACACCACAAACGAAGGCUUUUGUGUGGGGAUCAUUUGACUGUAAUUUAUCUGAGAGUACAGUUCUUUGUGCUACAUUAAGAUGAAGAACCAGACUUAACCACUUCAAAUGGAGAUUAUAUAACCAUGAAUUGUGUAUCACUCAAAUUUACUGAGGUUUUGCGGCUAGACAUAUACAAAGCAGCAUUCUUACAUUCCAUUCAUUUGAAUGGAUGUUCUGUAUGGCAUUAAUGUUGAGAAGCCAAGCAUUUCCCCAACCAACCUCCACACCGCCCCAUUUUUAAAACUAAAACUAAAACAAAAAAUCAUAACAUUUUGCAGUUUUCGUAACGUACAGCAAGCUCCAAAAGCCUAGUGGAAGAAAAUUACUUCCUGAGCCCAGUGUUCCCAGAACCCUACAACCAAAUCUCAAAUUCCCACUAGCCAUGCUAGCUGAAGGAUUUUGGGUGAUUUUCUCCAGAAAAGCAGCUUUCCCAGGCUCAGGAACAAAUACUAUUGAGCAGCU
rnacentral:lncRNA from 1 species